rnacentral:piRNA from 1 species
UGGACUUUAAUCUGUGGGCCAUGGGAAGAUU